rnacentral:tRNA from 1 species
GGGGCUGUGGCGCAGCUGGUAGCGCACCUCGUUCGCAACGAGGGGGUCAGGGGUUCGAGUCCCCUCAGCUCCACGA